ACGUGAGACUGCGAAUGUGCAGUGGCACGCAGUUGCUUGUACCCCAUGGGAAUAUGAGACACAAGACUGUUAAGGAAAGGAAAUUAUUUUUACUUGACAAACUCAUAAUGCUCGUGAAGACCAGAAAGCACGUACUCUGAUUUUCUGUUGCAGACUCAAAGGGGUUUUAUGUCCUCAAAAUUUGUCCUUUUUAUUUUUUUUUAAUUGCAGUGCUAAUCUAAUAUUUAAGUCUAUAGAACAACCCAUUAGAAAAAGACCCUUUGCCCUGUAAUAUUUGCCCUCAUUAGUAUUGCUGCAAAGGUAGUAAUCAGAGUAAUUUUUCACUUGCUCUGCUAAAUCAUUGGCAAAUGUAUUGUUUACUGGUUAAAUGCUUAGUUGCUUUAGCAAAGAAAAUAGGAUCUUAAAUAGGUUAUUUUUGUGGGUUUUUUUUCCAAUGAAGUGGGACCAGUAAGAGAUAAUAGUGUCAGGGAAGUGCAAUAUUUGCAAAAAUUCUGUACUAAAAGCUUGCUGUUAAUUUACUGGCAUUAACUUGCUUUUGUAAUCAUGUCUUAGUCUGUUUUUAAAAGCUGUAUAAAGUGGAUUGAAAAAUAUACUUUCCAGCUGAUGUAGGCUCUGUAUAACUUAGGUGGGUGUGAGGUCACAGCUAUGUUGAUAAGCAUAGACUAGACAGUAGUCUUGAAGCACAUUUUUAAAACAGGGUUAGUAACAAUUUUCAGGGCUAUAAAUUGGUUUACAAAUCACUUGGUGGUCUUUAAGUGAAAAACACUGCGCUCUUAGUAUGACAUAUUUCUGAUUCUGUCAGAGAAUUCUGAUGCCUCCUGUUCACUUCUCCAUUUCCCUCUAGCAUAAGCAGCAGUAGCCUGUGAUCAGCCAGUAAGGCCAAAAGAAAGCCCUGAGGGUUAGUGUUCUCAGCUGUGCUGUCUCAUCCCAGCUUCUCUGCUAAAGUGACAGCAGGUGAUCCCUCUGAACUUAAGCAGGCAGGGCAGCUGCAUCUGGUCAGUAGAGGUGCAUAAAAAAGGGGCAGUCUCAGAGGGGGAUAAUACUUCUAUUGCUUUAGUUUUGGGGUGUUGGCUUAAGAUCUUGUUUCUCUAAGAAGUUGUCUUUUAUUAAUAGGUGUACUAAACUGGGGAAAUUAUGGAGGGAUUUGAUGCUUAAAUUGUUGAAGGUGUUCCUGGUAGAGAGAAAUGACUUGUAGAUGAACAGAAUAACAACAAACCUUAAAUGUGAAACUCAACAAGGAGAAUAGAAGAAAUCAAAGUGUGACUUCAACAUUACCUGACAACUGUGGCAUCUGUUUAUUUUUAUAGCCAGACCUUCUUAUCAUCUUAUUUCAAUUGAAUGUUCUACUUGGGACUGGUGGAUCCAGGUGCCAGACCUCAAUCUACUGAGCAUUAAUCUGUGCCAGCAGUGUUAUAACAUUAACUUUUUACUCUUGCAGUAUUUUUAACUACCUUUCAUUUGUUUGCUUAGAAAGCUUUUCUACUCUGAUCUUCACUGAAGUUUUCUUGCAAGUGAGCUAAAACCAGAUCCCUUGGUAUCUGUCUUGGCUUUAGCAGAACCUUGUCUGACUGACUUAGAGUAAAAUCAGUCUGCAUAUAAUUGGGGAUUUGUGUGUAUGUUCAUAUGGGCAUGUGCAGCCUGGAAGGUGGAAGCUCUUUAGCAUAAUUAAGCAUUAAGUCUGGAUUUGUACAGUUCUUAGUGCUGUUGACAGUAAUGUUAUGUUUAUUCUGAAUACUAGUAAGAAUUUAAUAACUUCAAUGCAAGUGUUGUUUCUUUGUCCGUUAUUUUAAUGAAUCUGUCUUACUGCAUUUGUGGUCGUGCUAUCAGGGUGUUCGAGGCUUUGAAGUCAUGCAGUGUAGAUAUGGUAGGGGAAGUGUGUGUUUCACAGAUGAAAGGGAAGGGGAGUGAAUAAGGUGGGGAGGUGUUAAGAGAUAAGCACCUGACAGAAGAUGCAGGAUAAACCCAGAGCUUGUCUUAAGGCAAUGAUAAAAUUUUGUUGUGCAGCAAUAACGGUCUAGACCAAGUAACAAAUAAUGCACGCUUACUUUUUUUUUGCCUUCACUUAACUAGCAAGUGACGAUUGUGUCUGAUCAAACAUAGGGUGAUACAGUCCAUGUGUACCUAGAUAGCUUUACUAGUGAAAUCUCCAAAGCUGGAGAGUUGGGUUUUGUGUUCUGGUUCUUAAAAUACUGAAUAAAACAAGACUGGAGUAAUUGGAUGACUGAUAUGUCCAGGUAUCAGCAGAGAUUAAUUUUUUUAGCUUAACUUCUACAGUGUAGGGUACUGAAAUGCAAACUGGACUUCAGUGAAAACUUGUUCUAAUAGCAUCUUGAUCCAGACUGGAGACUUGAUGAGGAGAGGAGGUAGUCUAGUGCUAACAGCUGUGAGCAAGAGGAAAAGGAAGCACAGAAAUCUGCUGUCAUUUCUUGAAAAGAAGGUGAAAUAAGAUAAU